ACUCAGAGAAGGAUGAUUUUAGGACAUUGGAUUUUAUUUGGACUCAUUUCAUAUUGUUAUGGACAGUCCCUGACCUCCUCUGCUUCUGUGGUGAAGAGACCUGGAGAGUCAGUCACUGUGUCCUGUACUGUCUCUGGAUUCUCAAUGAGCAGCUGGUAUAUGAGUUGGAUCCGUCAGAAACCAGGACGAGGACUGGAGUGGAUUGGAUACAUUGACACUGGCACUGGCACAGCAUUCGCUCAGUCUCUACAGGGCCAGUUCUCCAUCACUAAAGACACCAAUAAAAACAUGCUGUAUCUAGAAGUGAAGAGUCUGAAAGCUGAAGACACGGCUGUUUAUUACUGUGCACGAGACUCACACUGAUCCAACAGACUGCAGAGCUGUACAAAAACUUACACAAACACGUCCUCAUGAGCUGUAAAUAUUCCCUCAGCAGGAAACUGAACCCCACAGACAUUUAUUAUAAACAUAAGAGGUUAUAUUUCUUUUCUCUUCUUUUAUUUCUUUUCCCUCCAUCAACAGACAAAAUUCCUCUUUAAAAUGCUCAGUUAUUUCUUUUCAUUAUCUCUGGCUGGUGGCUAAAGGCAGAAGACAAACAUGAAAGCAAAAU